rnacentral:rRNA from 1 species
AUGACCCGGGGCCUGGCGUCAGAGAGAGAGAGAGAGAGAGAGAGAGAGAGAGAGAGAGAGCGGGGGCGAGGGAGACGUGAAGAUGAUAGAGGUCGGCGAGCUCUCCGGCGACGCUACAGGGCACGACAGAUCGAGCAGGUGGCACUGUUGGACUCAGGGGGAUGUCGCUGUUCAAGUGGUGGUGGAGGUGGUCGCCGAAGCAGCCUGGUUCGCCGGUGA